GAAUCUGACAAGAGAGCAAAGCAGCCAAAGCUCCACCCAGCACUUCUGAGACUCACCACACCUCUGACCUCACCAGGGGCAGUGGUGGUCCUCUGAAGAACCUUCAUCUUUUGGCCCCUACCUUGGUCACACUCUAGUGCUCUUGUCCCCAUCUCUACCACAGUAGUCACCAUACCUCAUCUGGACCCUCACUCUGCCCACCUGGAAGAGCCAGCCCAGGACAGCAAGCAGAAGCAGCUUGUUUAGGAAACACAUCUCCCCUUCAUUGUCCUGAGAUAAGACCAAGCUCCUAAAAGGCAAAGGAGAGAGAGUGAUUUGCUCUUCUGGGAAGCCAAACCUCUCCCACCCUGACCCUGCCUUUGCAAGACACAGGGGAACUUACCUGCUGGCACUUAGGAUGAAGUCCCUGAAGAAGCCUUGACAGCCUGGAAAGGUGGGGGGUGGACAGGGCCCCCCACUGCUCUGAGGAGCCACAAGUCGUUCCUGUAGUCGCCGCAGCCGCCCCAGCUUGUCAGCUCCUAGCAUACUCAACACAUCUGGGGCCUCACCCAAGACAGUGCCCCCAGCACCACCAGGGCUCUGACACAUCUGGGGUGAUGGAAAGGAAGGAAAUUGAAAACAAGUGAAAAGGACUGACCAAAAUAAGCACAAAGUAAUGAACAUUUAUGAAAUGCCAACUCCAUGUUAGGCACUUUGGACAGUUUUUGAGGGAGGAAUUAUAUUCCUCUUCUAAAGGUGAAGAAACUGAAAUUGCAAGUAUAACCAUGUGCCUAGAAUUGCUGGAGUUAGGAUUUGAAGAGACCUGACUACCAAGCUCAGCUUUCUACCACAGCACCAAACAAGAAAAAGGAGGUAACAUUUGAGGCCCACCUGGGCAACUUAGUGAGACCCUAUUUCAAGAUAAAAAAAUAAAAGGGCUGGGGACAUAGCUUAGUGGUAGAGCAGUCCUGGGUUCAAUCCCCAGAACCACACACACACACAGAAUGAAAUAGAUCAGGGAAGGGCAAAAGGUGCAGGGCACAUCAGAGAGCAUUCUGUUUUUUUCUCUGCCACCUGAGUUUAACUGCCACCUAAGGGCCUACUUGGCUAUCCACACUGUCCAGGGUGCCAUCCUUUACUUGGCUGCUUACAAUACCCGCAGUUUGCUGUAGAUUAAUUUCUUGAGAAGCUAUUACCUGGAGAAGUUGUUUUUGGAAAAGCCGUACAAAGUGGCUAUGGCUGCAGGCCGCAGACAGUUGACCCAUCAUGGCUCUGAGGAACAAGAAGCAGGUGUAGAGUGUGUGGGAAGGAAGUAAGACAAAGAUCUGAGCAAGCAAGCCAAUCCUCGGGCUUUUCAGCUGUUUACCAGGUACUUGAACAGACCUUUUCCAGAGCUGGCCUGCAUAGGGGCAUGGGAGAAGGUAAAGGACACCCUCAGCACUAAGAUCCCUCAAGGCUAAAGAUACACUUAACAAAACAAGAAAUGCCACCUCUUAAAUCUUCAGGCCACACUAAGUGCCAGUGUACUUCAAGACCAAUGUGGACUAAAGGUAUGUGGACCAUAUACCUUGACCACUUCAAGGUAUGUGGUUAGAAAAUACUCUUUCUGCAGCCUAGUCAUCUAUCUAUGCAAAAUUAUCAGACGUGCCCAAAUUAGAGGCGGAAGUCUAGCCAAUGAUUUGGUCCAAAAUUCAAGCAACCUUGAUUAAGAGCUUUGCACUCUCCCAUUUGCCAUUAUAGAACAAGUGCAAGGUACUUCUGAGUGGAAGCAGCUGGAAAGAAAUCCCUUUUGAGUAGAGGCAGAGUUGUCAAUAGCUAGAGAUUAAGGAGGAAAAAGAAUAUAUAGCUUUGGGCUGGAAGGAGUGGUGGAAAGCUUUCUUCCAGUCAGCUUACCAAGCAUCACUGAGAUGCCAUCAGAAGCAAGAAAAAGGGACCAGCAUUUGAGUACCCACCUGAUCCUACUGCCCAAGCCCUUCUCAAAAUCCCAGCCAGGCUCCUCAUGGCGAUCUUCCCACUCUCGAAGAACCUCAUAGAACACAUCUCUGACAGACACACAAGAAUACCCGAUCAGCUGCAGCACAGCCAUCUCUAACUCAUUUCCAGUGAAGUAUUCCCUAGUUUGGAAGACUGAGGACAGCCCUGUCCACAGUCCUUCCUUAAGCUCCAAAGUUCUUUAUGUGAUGGUAAUGUUACAGACCCAGCAGCAGCACUCAUUGGUCUCACAUACAUCCGUGAGCAGUGAAAGUGAAUCCUGGCAUACUCCUGUCUGAGUAGUUUAUACACCUGUGAGAGGGCUGUCAAACUCAAGGGUUCAAGUCCAUGAGAACGAAACAGAAUGAAACAACUGGCCCUCAUGAUGGCUGUUAAUUAGAGCCUGGGGGUACUGACCUACUACUUGUUAGUGCCAGCCUCCUAUUUUCUAUGAAAACAAGACAGCUGCCUAUUACAGAGAAAAUGUUGCCUUAUUCCUUCCCCUCAAUAUUCCCUUUCCAUUUCACCUCUGUUUUUUAAAAGUAUGAAAGGCUCGGUCACUGGAGAAGUUGGCACGAUUGUCAGUUUCUGGCUGAAAGGAGACAGCUUGAGCCGAGGGUGGCAUUGCCAGAGAGACCUAAAAUAUGGCAGAGACAUCAGAAACUUUAUAAAGCCUGUGGAAGUCAUGCUCAGAAGACUUUACUCCCUUAUUGUUACCCAGAAUUAGCUCAUAUGACAAUUAAGUGUCAUGAGCAGAUUGCCUGAAUUCAUGAAAGUUAGGAAUGGUCAGGUCCAGGUUAGUAGUCAUCUAAGCUGGGGUCACACUACCUUGGCAACACUGCCCUCGUAAGCAGCUCGAAGUCGGCCUUGAAGAGCUGGUGAGAAGCACAGUAGCCGUUCAUUCUCAGCCAGCAGCUUUAAGGUCCCUUUGUCCAAGGAGGAAAGAACCCUACAGGGAGAAGAGCACAAAUAACUGAGACUGAGACACAGACUGCAAACAGGAAGCAGGCACCCUAUUAAAGUGUAUUGGGAGCAUGGAGCAGAUGUGUAAGUCCAGAAAUGUACAGUAGGGUUAUGGGUCAAAGACCAAGACAACAGAGGCAAAGGACAAGGAAAUUAGACCUUACAGUGCAGAGAUCAAGAGAGCAGGCCAGGAAUAUUAGCCAUAAAUCCAAAGGUCAGCUGUUGAGUAUAUUAGAUUCUUUUAGGGGAGACAAACUCAACCUUGACACAAAAUUAUAGUUAGGAUAAGGUCCAGGACCACUGUACCUGUUAAGUACAAGUAUAUAACCCAAGGGGUCAGAGAAUCAGACAAACAAUUAAAAUAAAGGAAACUCACUGAAAUUGGUGCUGUAAAACCUGCACUGCAAAGAACACACAAUCAUGGAUGCUCUGGAAUAGUGGGCUUUCCAGGGAAUCUAGAAAGAUAGUAACAAACUGUUAAGGGCUAUCCCAUCUGUAGUCUCCAUUUCUAGAAUAUGAGGUAUCUCACUGAUGUAGAGCACCUUGACUCAGUUCAAGAUCACUGUUCUUGGCAGCCACCAUCCUUCGGGCAGUAAGGAGCUGAAAGACGAAGAAAAGCUCCAAGAAGAGGUUUGGGACCAGGUUCUCUGGAUAUAAAAAGAAAUCCCUUAGUACUGGAA